rnacentral:rRNA from 1 species
UACGAAGGGGGCUAGCGUUGCUCGGAAUUACUGGGCGUAAAGCGCACGUAGGCGGCUUGUUAAGUCAGGGGUGAAAUCCUGGAGCUCAACUCCAGAACUGCCUUUGAUACUGGCGAGCUUGAGUCCGGGAGAGGUGAGUGGAACUGCGAGUGUAGAGGUGAAAUUCGCAGAUAUUCGCAAGAACACCAGUGGCGAAGGCGGCUCACUGGCCCGGUACUGACGCUGAGGUGCGAAAGCGUGGGGAGCAAACAGG